UGGGGAAUAUUGCACAAUGGGCGCAAGCCUGAUGCAGCCAUGCCGCGUGUAUGAAGAAGGCCUUCGGGUUGUAAAGUACUUUCAGCGGGGAGGAAGGUGUUGAGGUUAAUAACCUCAGCAAUUGACGUUACCCGCAGAAGAAGCACCGGCUAACUCCGUGCCAGCAGCCGCGGUAAUACGGAGGGUGCAAGCGUUAAUCGGAAUUACUGGGCGUAAAGCGCACGCAGGCGGUCUGUCAAGUCGGAUGUGAAAGCACCGGGCUCAACCUGGGAACUGCAUUCGAAACUGGCAGGCUAGAGUCUUGUAGAGGGGGGUAGAAUUCCAGGUGUAGCGGUGAAAUGCGUAGAGAUCUGGAGGAAUACCGGUGGCGAAGGCGGCCCCCUGGACAAAGACUGACGCUCAGGUGCGAAAGCGUGGGGAGCAAACAGG
rnacentral:rRNA from 1 species